ACUACCCUGAUUAAUGUGGCUGUCAAGGUUAGCUUAUAGGAAACUACCCUGAUUAUGUGGCUGUCAAGGUUAGCUUAUAGGGAACUACCCUGAUUAUGUGGCUGUCAAGGUUAGCUUAUAGGGAACUACCCUGAUUAUGUGGCUGUCAAGGUUAGCUUAUAGGGAACUACCCUGAUAAUGUGGCUGUCAAGGUUAGCUUAUAGGGAACUACCCUGAUAAUGUGGCUGUCAAGGUUAGCUUAUAGAUAACUACCCUGAUAAUGUGGCUGUCAAGGUUAGCUUAUAGGGAACUACCCUGAUAAUGUGGCUGUCAAGGUUAGCUUAUAGAUAACUACCCUGAUAAUGUGGCUGUCAAGGUUAGCUUAUAGGGAACUCCCCUUAUUAUGUGGCUGUCAAGGUUAGCUUAUAGGGAACUACCCUGAUAAUGUGGCUGUCAAGGUUAGCUUAUAGGGAACUACCCUGAUUAUGUGGCUGUCAAGGUUAGCUUAUAGAUAACUACCCUGAUUAUGUGGCUGUCAAGGUAAGCUUAUAGGGAACUACCCUGAUUAUGUGGCUGUCAAGGUUAGCUUAUAGGGAACUACCACGAUAAUGUGGCUGUCAAGGUUAGCUUAUAGGGAACUACCCUGAUAAUGUGGCUGUCAAGGUUAGCUUAUAGGGAACUACCCUGAUUUAUGUGGUAUAUUGCAAUUUAUAGGAUCACAAAUGUUGGUUUUGCUUUUUAGGUCACCUGAGAUGAAUUCUCAAGUGACCUAUUCUAACCGCCUUUUGUCUGUUGUCGAGCAUCAUCUGUCGUCCAUUCAUAAAUAAUUUACAUUUUCGACUUCUUCUCCAAAACAGCUGAACCAAAUUCAACGAAAUUUUGCAGGAAGGUUCCAUGGCCAAAGGUCAACCAAACUGUGAAUCAUAUGGUCCCAACCCUCCAGGAGCCUGAGGGGCAGGGCCAAAAUUGUGAAUUUCAUGACCCUGGAGUCUCCCUUUUCCCCCUGGGAAAGGGGGUAAAGUUUACUAUAGUUUAUAUAGGGAAAUCACAUUUUUGAGCAUUUUUAUUCCAAUUGCCAUUGGAAAUAAUACAAACUUGGUUAGAAUUAUCAGUAUGGAAUGCCUGUUGUAAACUAUAUGUAUAUUGGCACUGACUGACCCCCAAGGGCUUAUGGGCAGGGCCAAAAAGGGUCAAAUUAACUGAAAUUUCAAGAGACCUAAAUAAGGUGGAAUCAAAUACA